AUUGAACGCUGGCGGCAGGCCUAACACAUGCAAGUCGAGCGGAUGAAGGGAGCUUGCUCCUGGAUUCAGCGGCGGACGGGUGAGUAAUGCCUAGGAAUCUGCCUGGUAGUGGGGGAUAACGUCCGGAAACGGGCGCUAAUACCGCAUACGUCCUGAGGGAGAAAGUGGGGGAUCUUCGGACCUCACGCUAUCAGAUGAGCCUAGGUCGGAUUAGCUAGUUGGUGGGGUAAAGGCCUACCAAGGCGACGAUCCGUAACUGGUCUGAGAGGAUGAUCAGUCACACUGGAACUGAGACACGGUCCAGACUCCUACGGGAGGCAGCAGUGGGGAAUAUUGGAAAAUGGGCGAAAGCCUGAUCCAGCCAUGCCGCGUGUGUGAAGAAGGUAUUCGGAUUGUAAAGCACUUUAAGUUGGGAGGAAGGGCAGUAAGUUAAUACCUUGCUGUUUUGACGUUACCAACAGAAUAAGCACCGGCUAACUUCGUG
rnacentral:rRNA from 1 species